GACCCGGUGCUGAGUGUGUCUGAGUCCUCCCUCACCGCCUCCCUCCCCGGGCCCCUCCCCCCUCUCAGCCGCAUCCCACAAGAGGAACUUGGAGGGCUGCCCUGGCCGCCUGCCACGAUGCUCAGAGGGGCCUCUCCGCCUCCGGGCCGGCCCGGCCUGGACGAAUGACCGACUCUUCUGGGCUUCCUGCCUCACGGUCUGCGGGGGGAGGGGGGUUGCCGGCCCUUUUAGCUCUGCCUUCUGGCGUCUCGGAGAAGCCUUCUUUGGGCGGGAAAGCGGAGCAGGCAGGACCUGGGUUCGAAUCCUGCUCCCGAGGGAGAUGGGGCUUCGACUUCCUCUUCCCAGCGAGCUGCUGGUGGACUCGGGUCGGAGCCUCCCGAGCUCUUUCUGCCCCCUGAAGCAGGGAUGGGCGGCCCCGGACCCAGCGCUGUUCAGACUGUCCCGUCCCAGCGAGGACGUGCCAACCUCCAGGCCAGGGGCUCCAGGACGUACCGGGGAGGCCCGUGUCCGGCCUCUGGCCUGGAGCUCCGCCCUGGCCACCCAGGAGAGGACACACAGCAGGGAGAGGCCCUACGCGUGCCGCCGCUGUGGGAAGGCCUUCCAGGGCAGCUCGGACCUGAGCCAGCCCCAGAGUGUGGGAGGACCUUUGCCUGGAGCUCCACCCUCACCCGGGCGGGCCUUUGGGCAGCAGAGGAUUCACCGUGGUGCCCAGAGGCCUUUCCUUCCGCUCCUGCCUCCUCCUGCAUCAAAAGCAGCACCCCGAGGCCUCUUGGGAGCCUUCUUCUCCCCGAAGCUCACUCCCUGCCUCGUGGCGGCCCUCUCCUCCUUCCCAUCCGUGCUUCUGCCUCAUCACAAGACCCCUCCAAAGGCCGGGCCACCCUCUCCCGGCGCCUCCUUCCGGGACUCUCCUCUGUCUGCCAACCCAAGCACCCCCGGGGGAGGCCCCCCUCCACAGGCGUGGGCCCUUGUCCCUCCUCCCCUCCCCCGCGGGCUCCCUUGGCCUCCCACCUGUCUAGACAAGGCUCUGCUCAGCAGCCUCUGCUAG
rnacentral:lncRNA from 1 species